GACGGGUGAGUAACGCGUGGGUAACCUGCCUCAUACAGGGGGAUAACAGUUAGAAAUGACUGCUAAUACCGCAUAAGACCACAGCACCGCAUGGUGCAGGGGUAAAAACUCCGGUGGUAUGAGAUGGACCCGCGUCUGAUUAGGUAGUUGGUGGGGUAACGGCCUACCAAGCCGACGAUCAGUAGCCGACCUGAGAGGGUGACCGGCCACAUUGGGACUGAGACACGGCCCAAACUCCUACGGGAGGCAGCAGUGGGGAAUAUUGCACAAUGGGGGAAACCCUGAUGCAGCGACGCCGCGUGAGCGAUGAAGUAUUUCGGUAUGUAAAGCUCUAUCAGCAGGGAAGAAAAUGACGGUACCUGACUAAGAAGCACCGGCUAAAUACGUGCCAGCAGCCGCGGUAAUACGUAUGGUGCAAGCGUUAUCCGGAUUUACUGGGUGUAAAGGGAGCGUAGACGGAGUGGCAAGUCUGAUGUGAAAACCCGGGGCUCAACCCCGGGACUGCAUUGGAAACUGUCAAUCUAGAGUACCGGAGAGGUAAGCGGAAUUCCUAGUGUAGCGGUGAAAUGCGUAGUAUAUUAGGAGGAACACC
rnacentral:rRNA from 1 species